rnacentral:rRNA from 1 species
GACGAACGCUGGCGGCGUGCUUAACACAUGCAAGUCGAACGAUGAAACCUAGCUUGCUAGGUCGAUUAGUGGCGAACGGGUGAGUAACACGUGACUAACCUGCCCCUUUCUCUGGGAUAACGCUCCGAAAGGAGUGCUAAUACCGGAUACUCACACCGAGGCACAUGCCUUGGUGUGGAAAGUUUUUCGGAAAGGGAUGGAGUCGCGGCCUAUCAGCUUGUUGGUGAGGUAACGGCUCACCAAGGCGACGACGGGUAGCCGGCCUGAGAGGGCGACCGGCCACACUGGGACUGAGACACCGCCCAGACUCCUUCGGGGGGCAGCAGUGGGGAAUAUUGCACAAUGGGCGCAAGCCUGAUGCAGCGACGCCGCGUGAGGGAUGAAGGUCUUCGGAUUGUAAACCUCUUUCAGUAGGGACGAAGCGAAAGUGACGGUACCUAAAGAAGAAGCACCGGCUAACUACGUGCCAGCAGCCGCCGUAA